rnacentral:rRNA from 1 species
AACGAACGCUGGCGGCGUGCUUAACACAUGCAAGUCGAACGCGAAAGGGACUUCGGUCCUGAGUAAAGUGGCGCACGGGUGAGUAACACGUGGAUAAUCUACCCAGUGUUCCGGGAUAACAUCUCGAAAGGGGUGCUAAUACCGGAUAAGCCCACGGGAACUUCGGUUCUUGCGGGAAAAGGUGGGGACCUUCGGGCCUACUGUCACUGGAUGAGUCCGCGGCCCAUUAGCUAGUUGGUAGGGUAAUGGCCUACCAAGGCUACGAUGGGUAGCUGGUCUGAGAGGAUGAUCAGCCACACUGGAACUGAGACACGGUCCAGACUCCUACGGGAGGCAG